rnacentral:lncRNA from 1 species
UCAGCACCAGCAUUCGCCAGCGGGAGCCCUCGGGGGGCAUCCCAAGCCCCCAGCCCCGGCCGCCCGCUGCGGGGGAGGGGCAGGAGGCUCACCCCAUUACUCACCGUUUCCUCCCGGUCUCCCGAGCGGAGUGGCCAAGCGGGGGGGGGGGGGGGGGGAAGGUGCGCGACGCCCCGCCGCCCGGCUGCUCAGCGGCCGCAGAGGCUCAUCGCCCCCGCGGGCUGCCCGCCGGCCGCAGCCGCGUCCGGGGCAUGUCAGUCGGCAGCCGCCGCCGCCCGCGGGGCUCCCGGGCUCGCAGCCCUCAGCGGGGGGGGCCUGGGGAGGACCGGGGAGAGCCCCCCCCGAGGACCCCCGCAGGAGCCCGGGCCGGAGCGGGGGCUCGGGACUGAGCCCGGGGAGGCCCGGAGUCCCGGGCACCGGCAGCGCGGGGGGGGGAUCCCUGCCGGGAGGGGCGGGCAGGCGGGCGGCCCGGCGCGCCCUGGCGGCUCGGAGGGACCCCGGCUCGCGGCCGCGUCGCCGGGGCUUUCCCGGGGCUGGGCGCGCGCUCCGGCUCUCCGCCCGGCACCCGUCACCGCGGAGGGGACGCGCCGAGGGGCUGGUUUCUGGGCGAGCCGCGAGCUUUGCCCAUUAAGCUGCAGCAAGAAGCCAAAUCAAAAAGCCAAUCUCCAAGCCUCCCAACCGAACGUCGCCCUAUCAGCUGGGAGCCAGGGAGCCGCGCCGAAUGACAAGCCGCGCAUAUUUAUCCUCGCGCGCCGAGGGGGGAUUUUCAGAUCGCGUCCCGAGCAGCCGCGGGGAAGUGGACCUGGCCUCGCGGCCCCGGGGCCCCGGGGCCCACGGCACCAGCCCGCCCGCCCGCCCGCCCUCGCCCGCGGCCACGCACCCGGUCGCCGGCGCCCCGCGGCGCUCCCGACUCGGCGGCCGGUCCUGACCUGGAUUCCGCGGAGCCCGGGGCUCCGGGCGGCGGGCGGCGGGCGGCGGGGCGGGGAGGGCGGCCAGGCGGGCGCGCGGCACCGGCUUUCCCCUUGUCCUCAGGAGACGCCGCCUGCAAUUCCGAAAUUAAGUCUCCACCAACACAUCUGUGGUUUUUAA